GAGUUUGAUCCUGGCUCAGAACAAACGCUGGCGGCGUGCUUAACACAUGCAAGUCGAACGAGAAAGGCCCUUCGGGGUUGAGUAUAGUGGCAAACGGGUGAGUAACACGUGAGUAUCUGCCCUUAGAUGAAGGAUACCUUCGGGAAACUGAAGUUAAUCCUGCAUAAUUUCGAAAGAACAAAGGAGGCCUCUUGCUUCCGUCUAAGGAUGGGCUUGCGUCCUAUUAGCUUGUUGGUGGGGUAAAGGCCUACCAAGGCAAUGAUGGGUAUCCGGCCUGAGAGGGUGUACGGACACAUUGGGACUGAGAUACGGCCCAGACUCCUACGGGAGGCAGCAGUGGGGAAUAUUGUGCAAUGGGCGAGCCUGACACAGCGACGCCGCGUGGAGGAUGAAGGUCUUCGGAUCGUAAACUUCUGUUCUGUGGGAAGAAAUACCGUCGGUUAAUACCCGGCGGGGAUGACGGUACCACAGCAGAAAGCCCCGGCUAACUUCGUGCCAGCAGCCGCGGUAAUACGAGGGGGGCAAGCGUUGUUCGGAAUCACUGGGCGUAAAGGGUGUGUAGGCGGCCUUUUUAGUUAAGCGUGUAAUCUUGCAGCCCAACUGCAUUUUUGCGUUUAAUACUGGAAGGCUAGAGGCUGGAAGAGAGGAGUGGAAUUCUCGGAGUAGCGGUAAAAUGCGUAGAUCUCGAGAGGAACACCAGUGGCGAAGGCGGCUCCUUGGUCCAAGUCUGACGCUGAUACACGAAAGCAUGGGUAGCAAACAGGAUUAGAUACCCUGGUAGUCCAUGCCGUAAACGAUGAUCACUAGAUGUGUGGUUCCUUCGGGAGCUGCGUGUCGAAGCUAACGCGAUAAGUGAUCCGCCUGGGGAGUACGGUCGCAAGACUAAAACUUAAAGGAAUUGACGGGGGCCCGCACAAGCGGUGGAACAUGUGGUUUAAUUCGACACUACGCGAGGAACCUUACCUAGGCUUGACAUGUAACUGCAAACUGUUGAAAGACGGUCUUUCGAGCUUGCUCGGACAUUUACACAGGUGCUGCAUGGCUGUCGUCAGCUCGUGUCGUGAGAUGUUGGGUUAAGUCCUUUAACGAGCGCAACCCUUGUCGUUAGUUGCCAUCAUUUAGUUGGGCACUCUAGCGAGACUGCCUGGGGAACCAGGAGGAAGGUGGGGAUGACGUCAAGUCCUCAUGGCCCUUAUGCCUAGGGCGACACACGUGUUACAAUGGCUAGUACAAAGGGAAGCGAGCCUGCGAGGGUAAGCCGAUCCCAGAAAGCUAGUCCAAGUUCGGAUUGGAGUCUGCAACCCGACUCCAUGAAGUUGAAAUCGCUAGUAAUCGCGUAUCAGAACGGUGCGGUGAAUGCGUUCCCGGGCCUUGUACACACCGCCCGUCAAAUCACGAAAGCUGUCUGUACCCAAAGUCGCUUUGGCUAGCCGAAAGGGGGCCGGCGCCUAAGGUAUGGGUGGUGAUUGGGGUUAAGUCGUAACAAGGUAGCUGUAGGAGAACCUGCGGCUGGAUCACCUCCUUU
rnacentral:rRNA from 1 species